GUGUGUGUGUGUGUGUGUGUGUGUGCGCGUACACUUCCAUGUUGAGUGGUUUUUCAGCUAGGUCUACAACGUGAGGAAGUGGAACGUCUCAACUGCAAGCUAGAGCAGGAAAAACGAAAGAGGCAUGAUGUAGAAAACAGGUUCUUGAUGUACAGGCUGAAGAGUGCACAAAAACUGUUGGACAGCAAUGACUCAGACUCAGAUGAUCAUCAACAUACUGAAGACGAGGAUUCAAAACCAGGAACACAAGAGCAAGAAAGAGCACAGUCCGAAGAACCUUUCAUACAAACACCAGAGGGAGCUGGAGGCUGUGGAUGAAACUGAUACUUUCUACAUUAAAAUAUAUGAAAGACAAUUUAUACUAUGAUUGUAAACAUAAAACAUUCUGUAUGUUCAUGUUUAUUCAUUAUGCAGUGAUUUUCAUCAGAUUUCUAGGCAUGUCUGAGGGUGAUAUAAGUUGCAUUGUAUUCAUUAUAAAUGGUGUACCUUAUUGUAACUUUAUGCUUAUUUGUACUUCUGUCUCGUAUCGGUUUUGAAUGUCAUGUUUUAAGAGUUGCUCUCUUGGUUGCCAGAAGUGAAAGUCUCUGGACCAUCUAUAUACCCGCUUU